UACGAGGGGUCCUAGCGUUGUUCGGAAUCAUUGGGCGUAAAGGGUGCGUAGGUUGCUAUUCAAGUCAGUUGUGAAAUCCCCGGGCUCAACCCGGGAAGUGCUUCUGAUACUGUUUAGCUUGAGUACUGGAGAGGAUAGUAGAAUUCCAGGUGUAGUGGUGAAAUACGUAGAUAUCUGGAGGAAUACCGGUGGCGAAGGCGGCUAUCUGGCCAUGUACUGACACUGAAGCACGAAAGCGUGGGUAGCAAACAGGG
rnacentral:rRNA from 1 species